rnacentral:rRNA from 1 species
GACGAACGCUGGCGGCGUGCCUAAUACAUGCAAGUCGAACGCAGUGGGGACGGGUGAGUAACACGUGGGUAACCUCCCAUCAGAGGGGAUAACAAUUGGAACCAGGUGCUAAACCGAUACUGAUGGAUGGACCCGCGGUGCAUUAGCUAGUUGGUGGGGUAAAGGCUAACCUAGGCGACGAUCUCUAGCCGGGCUGAGAGGAUGAUCAGCCAAACUGGGACUGAGACACGGCCCAGACGCCUACGGGAGGCAGCAGUGGGGAAUAUUGCACAAUGGGCGCAAGCCUGAUGCAGCCAUGCCGCGUGUAUGAAGAAGGCCUGAGGGUGGUAAAGUACUGGCAGCGGGGAGGCGUUACCCGCAGAAGAAGCACCGGCGAACUCCGUGCCAGCAGCCGCGGUAAUAC